ACAAUAAAUAUUUACUGUCAUAAAUUACCGCGUCGCGUCUUUUUUCGUCGAGGAAACAGUAGGACUAUUAUGCCCGUCGUAAUUUCUUCAGCGUUCGUCUCCGAAUUUAAUGUCCAGGUUUAGUUUUUACACCGACACAACGACGCGUUCGUGCGAUUUCGAGAUUAAACAUAACGUUCAAAGUCGUUUCGAAUCGACCGUGAUAAAUACGAAUCGUCUAAACUGUACAUAAAAGAUACACGUA